UGCAUCUUCUUGCUCCAGGAGCGGGGGUGGGGAGCGCAGCGCGGAGGAGGCAGCGCUGAGAUGACUCAACAGUGCGGCAUUUGGGGGCGCCGCGGAGGCUGGGACUGCGUAAGCGGCGAUAGGGUAGGACCCACAGCCUCCUCGCAGGCAUUCUUGGAGCUCGGUUCCGCGGUCGGUCCGGAUCUCCCGGGAAGUCUCGCCGGAGUCAGGCAGGCCUUAGGAAGAAGCUGCCUGAUGUGCAAGGUUUCAUAGGCCGUCAGAGGGGGCAUCCUGGAGGAGCCCUGGCAUCAGGAAAGUGAGCCCCCCAUGGCAGCCCGCAGGAAUGAACCAGUGCUCAGCCAGAAAGGGAAAACAGAGCCGAGUUUGGCCACUGGGGCCUCCACAGCCCUCUGGAAGAAGGGGCUGACUGAUAGGAAGGCACUCCUCUGGUGUUCACUGGCCAGACCCCUGUGGGCUCAGAAGACUACCUAGACCCCAUGAAGAAAGACUCUAGACACAUU
rnacentral:lncRNA from 1 species